rnacentral:misc_RNA from 1 species
GAAAUGCGAUAAGUAAUGUGAAUUGCAGAAUUCAGUGAAUCAUCGAAUCUUUGAACGCACCUUGCGCCCUUUGGCCAUUCCGAAGGGCAUGCCUGUUUGAGUAUCAUGAACACCUCAACUCUUCAUGGUUUUCCAUGAUGAGCUUGGACUCUGGGGGUCUUGCUGGCCUGUGGUCGGCUCCUCUCAAAUGAAUCAGCUUGCCGGUGUUUGGUGGGCAUCACAGGUGUGAUAACUAUCUACGCUUGUGGUUUUCCACCAGGGUAACCUUCAGCAGUGGAGGUUCACUGGAGCUCACAAAUGUCUCUCCUCAGUGGGGACAGCCCUUUAAAUGUUUGAUCUCAAAUCAGGUAGGACUACCCGCUGAACUUAA